AUGUUCCCAUGAGUAUUUGUGCAACACAAAUUAAAGCUGGUGAAAUUUUAUUUGGGUGGGGGGAGGUGAGGGGCAAAGAGGGUAUGAUCUGGGUGAAUUGUUUGAAAUUCCCAAACACUUAAUGAAAAUAUUAUGUUAGGGGAAAAAAAUCCUAACACUUAGGAGGCAAAGACAGGUACUUUGUGGUGUUUGAGAUCAACUUAGCUCUGUGUUUCAAGUGGGGAAAAUGUAAUUAGAACAUAUUUAUUUUCCAUUGUAUUAAAAACUAUGUUAUGAUCAUGACAAUUGAUUAAUGUGUCCCAUUUUCUUUAGUAUAAAUUUUAUCUUACUUUACUUCUUGAGACAGGCUCUCAUGUAGCACAGAUUGGCCUCAGAGUCACUAUGUAGCCAAGAAUGACCUUGAAUUUUUGAUCCUCCUGCCGCCACCUCCCGAGUGUUGGGGUUAUAGUCCUGGGUCACCACACUCAGUUGGUGCUCACAAUCUAAGCCAGCACUCCACUAGGCAAGCGUGGAGUGAGCCACACUGAGCCACACUCCAGAGACUUGAAUCUUGUGUAUAUGUGGUCAGUUCCGAUCUCUAAACAUCGACAUUGAGAGCACUCCCAGGUUUUUGUGUUUAGGCAUAUUCACUGGAUAUCUUGCUUUGCUAUUUACUUAUUUGCUUUUGUUUCCUUGGAAUGACUUCCAAGUUGAGAAUUACAGCGAAAGGGCAUGGCAUAUAAAUUGACUAUUGACGGCCACCGUCAGGUUUAUUUAGAAAUAAUUCCCUCCUGGCUGUGGUCUCCUUCCCAUCCCACAAUUUCAGCGUGUCCACUUCAUCUCUCCUCUAAUUACUGGAACCGCUUUCAUCUUCCCUGACUUGAAGACAGCUAAUGACAGCCCAUUCUCUUCAUGCCCUCCCAUUAUUUUUUCCAAAUGAGCUUCCUUCAAAAUCACUGGACUGAAUAAGAAGGCAGGCGGCACCGAAAGAAAGAAAAACCGUGCUCUUACCUUGAAUGAAACCAGAGUGGAGUCCUUCCCGUAGGAGAAGAUUGAAGCCUUAAGCAGGUUUUUCCUGCCCCAUCUUCUUCAUUUUCUAUCGAAUAGAAAUAAUUCCAUCCCAGGGGUUUGUGCCUGCCACGCUCCUCUGUUCCAUUCUGCUGACUUGCUUUCUCAACUGACUCUCUCAGAAAGGGUGAGGAGGACAAACAAUCUGAAUUCUUCCCCAGUCAAGAAAGUGUCCUGUUCUCACGUUCAGGUGCUGCUUCUAUCUUAGCCCAAUUUGUGCUGCUACCGUGGAAUGCCUGAGGCUGCGUACUUUAUCAGGAAAAGGGGUUUAUUUGGCUCAUGGGUCUGGUGGCUGGACGGUCCAAAUAGCAUGAUGCUGUCACCCCGCUGAGAACUUCCUGGCAGAGAAGAAUAAGGAAACAGUUCCUUGCACAAGCGUUACAAACAUGUAAAAGCAGGAAAUGAAGCCAAGGAGGGGCCAGGAGACUAAGCCACUCCUAUCAGACUUGACCAGCUCCCCGAGAUAACAUUCACUAUGUGUGAGGGUAGAGCCCUAUGAUCUAAUUACCUUUCCGUAGACCCCAUCAACUAAAGGUCUCAUCAGCCUGAUACUGCUGCACAGGACCAAGCCUGUGAACUUCUGGAGAAUAAAUCAUACCCACGUUAUGACAGCUGGGAAUAGGAUUUGAAGUUUACAAUUCUUUUAUCUCAAGUGGGAUUGUGGUAGUGCAUGUCUUCAAUCCUAGCAUUCAGGAGGCAGAGGCCGGCAGAUCUCUGAGUUCAAGGCCAGCCAGGACUACAUCAAGAAACCCACCUUGUUUUGAAAAAAGCAAGCAAGCAAACAAACCAA
rnacentral:lncRNA from 1 species